UACCGUAGCCGAGCUGGAAGUUGGUAGGCCCAAAUAGUAAGCCCAAAUAGUAAGCCCAAUUGUUCGGCCCGAUUGGUAAGCCCAAAUGUUAAGCCCAAUUGUUCGGCCCGAAUGGUAGGCCCAAAUGUUAAACCCAAAUUGGUUCGGGCCGGUUCGAAAUGUGGAUGGUUCGGUUUCUUCGGCCCAAUUGGCCAGCCCUAAUGCUUAGCCCAAGGAUUGAGCAAGCCCAAGUCAUCAUCACUGGGUAACAUAUUUUAUUGGCGUGCUUUUGGGGACGAAUUGUUUUGAGUGAUGCAUCUCUAUUGUUGUGUAGAAUGGUGCAUGCUUGAGUUUUACUAUAGAGACUUACCGUGAUGCUAAUUGAGUAGCGAAACACUUUGUGGGAGUGUUUACUGUGCUUGUAUGCCAGUACAAAGUGUUGAUCUAUGUGAGGAUCUAUGAGAUGAUCCAUGUGACGAUUUUGUGUAUGUGAUGUGGAGUGUUGUUGAGCAGUUGUUGUGUGAGUUUACGUUUGUGAUGAAAGGAUUUAGUGGCCAUAGGAAUGUAUUUUUAUACAAAGAGCUGAGGCUCUGUAGAUUACUACAGAUUUGGAAAAGAUGGAGAUUCUAUGGUUAGGUCAACCUUAAUCGAGAGGAAUUGACUUGCGCUUAAAUUUCGGGACGAAAUUUCUUUAAGGAGGGUAGAUUGUAAUACCCGAAAAAUUCAAAUUAACGUCCGAUGUCAUUUUGGAAAUGAUUUCGUAGGCGUGGGCACGAAUACGAAGCUUGAAGGAGUUGUGGAAUUAGUUCGAACGAUUUUAUUUCGAAAACGAACGUUAUUUAGGGGGUCUUAAAAAGUGACUUCUUAUACGUACAGAAUUUGGGAAAACUUUCUUCAUGAAAGUUGUAGAGCUCGUCGAUACGAUCUCGUGCGUAUGUUGAACGCAAUAUUCGGAGUUUGUAUGAAUAAGUUAUGAAUAUUUGAAAAUCGGGAUUUUUUUUCUAUAAAUAUGGAGAAUUUCUGGAAUUUUUCUUAAAUCCCAAAAUUUCCUAUUCUUUCUAUUUUCUCCCCCGGUUUUCUCUCUUCUCUCUCCUCUCCCCCGACCUUUUUCUCUUCUUUCUGGGCGUUCUUCCUCUGCCAGCAGCGCCACCGUCCGGCCACCUCAAGCCGCUCUCGAGGUGUCCACGGCUUCGCCUCGACGUCGUCUAGCUACUGGACGUGACCACUUUCCCCGGAACGGCCUCAAAUCCGGCAAACCGGAGCUGCAAGGUUUGAGCCAAAAACAGUCAACGCCGGUUUUCUCCUAAUUCCGGCCACCAAAACUCACGAUCCUUAGCUCCCUGAACUCACCUCAACAUGCUGAUCAUCAUCCUAGAAGGAUCGCACCUGGAGUGACCGGAUUCACGUUCGUCGGAGCUCGGCCGGCUUUAAUUCGAAAACCACCUUCGAAUCCGAUUUUCUCGAGUUAUAGACCACCUUUUCUUGUGAUUCUUGGCCUGGUGAGUUCACCUUGAGAUUAUUAACAACUCUCAAGAAGGGAUCGAGGCCUGAGGUUGAAGUUUUUACGUCGGAAUUCAAGCUCGCCGGAUUCUGGAAAAUUUCCGACCACGAAGACUUUCGAUCAAGAUAUCUCGAGCUGUAGUGCAUCGUUUUGAUUGAUUCUUUUUCCAGUGGGUUCCCCUUGAUGUUGUUAACAACUCUCUAGAAGGCAUCGAGGCCUGAAAUUGAAGUUUUUACGUCGAUCGGAGCCCUCGCCGGAUUCUGCAAAAUUCUGCAAAUUUUCCGACCACCGAAGCUUUCGAUCGGUAUAUCUCGAGCUACAGACCAUAUUUUUCUGUGAUUCUUGAACCAAUGCGUUCGUCUUGAGUUUCUUAACAACUCUCUAGAAGGAAUCGAAGCCUGAAAUUGAAGUUUUGACGUCGAAAUCAAGCCUUGCCGGAUUCUGCAAAUUUCGCCGGAUUCUGGAAAUUUUCCGGCCACCUCGACUGUUCUAGGUUAUCGACGGAUUGAUUUGGUGGACGAUUCGGAUUGAUGUAUUUGGCUUUUUAGAAGACGCAGCUGGAUUAGAGCGGGAAAUCCUACAGGUCAGGAAGAUCAAGGCGGAGAUCGUGCGGGUUAGAGUUUUUGUUUCAGUUUACAGCUUUGUAAAUUGUGAGAUGUAUUAUUAAGAGGUGUGAAGUGUGGUUGUUGUGAGAAAAAAAUUCAGGACGUUUAUUCUAUUAAGUUGUAUAAUUCAUGUUUCGGAUUUUAAUUGUAUUUAAAAUUCGGGGC